CUGAGAUCACGAGCUCAGCUGAAACCCAGAGGAGCCUAAAGAAGAUGAAAUCAAUUGGCACAGAUUCUGCAACUAAAUGAUGCUUUUGCAGGGGUAAAGCUCUUUGGAACUGCACUGCUUACUAAGAGCGUGAAAUGCCACAGGAGUGGCUGAAGCAUUGGUGGAAGUCAGCCUUUGGGGCCAUUCUGCCACACAUCCUCUGUACUCUGCCACCAUCAGGGGAUUACUGGAGAGCGUGGGGGUCAUUGAGUGCACGUGAGGUCCCACUUGCUGCCCCUCCCUGGUUUUUCUUUAUGUCACUUGGUGUUACCAGGACAAGCAGUGAUGCUGUGGGGAUAGCAUAGGAGUUCUGAUUUGUUCUUUGGGCUCUUGGCCAUUGUGAGAGUAAAGAGCUGUCAAGCCAGAGCUCCAGUGUUGGCUCUUGGGGGAGACCCCGCUUGACUUACACAGAUCCUUGCAGCUCAAAGUGGCAAAAUCUUUUGCAGAAAGAAGGACACAAUGACUGAAUUUGAACCAAAGUACAUUAAGGAU